AACUACCUAAUUCCCCCAAAACCCCACUCAUUCUUUAGAGACCAACCUCCUUUGUUUCCUUUCCUCUCUCUUUUCUUUUUUCUCCAUAGAGCAUCAAUCAGUGAGACACUCAAAAUCGAAACAAAAUAUUCAUCUUCCAACCGAUAAUAUCACUGAGAUUUCCUUCUCUGUCACUCAAUUUGAAUCCCAAACCUUGAAACCCUAAGACCAAAAUGUACAAGCGAGAGUAUUAUCCUUUCUUCUCCUGCUCAUUCAAAUCAACACAUGCAAGUUGUUGAUUCAUGAGAAUCUUGACCAUAUUAUGAUGAUUCAUGGUCCGAUGAUCCUUUGGUUCCAACGACCGAUUUCCUUUACCAUUUUCGUGACAAGGUAACUUCUUUAUGAUUAUUCCCAUGUGUUUUCCCAUCUUUUCUACCUUUUGCACUCAUCAGUAACUCAAUCGUCAUCCUUUCAAAUUCAAACGAACCCUAAGGCUCCAAUGACCACUAUUAAUAUGAGCUUUUAAUGCUCUCACAAAACACACAGACAAACACUUAGAACAAGACGAACUACAUAAGGAGCUUAAUAAAUACUACAUGUUAAAUACUUUGAGUUUCUUCUCUAAUUUUUUCUCUCUUUUUUCUGCUCGAGUUCGACUACUGCGAGUUGAUUGGGAGAUCAAGCUCCUAAAUGUCUAGUGAUUGCCUCUACUUGGUUUGCUGCUCCGAAGAAGGACUAUUCUAUAAUGAUGUUCUACAACCUGCUUUGGUGAUGUAAGCUUACCUUGAGAAAGUUCUGUUUAACUGGACCUUUUAUGAAGUGUUGAACCUCUGAUAAGGUUAGUAAUGAGUCCAUGUGUUUGUUAGCUGCUAAUGCCUUAAGCCACUUAGGGUGGCAUUAUUGAAUGAUGAAAUUGGUAGUAGCAUGGAGGGAAUGACUAUAGAGGUAUAUCGUUGAUCAUAUGUAAUGGCCCUUUCUUGAUUAUGUAUGUGGUUCUAAGGAUAUUAUUUAAGUGUUGUGUUCCAUUGAAUGUUUUAGAUUCAACCUUUAAACCUUUUGAAAUUGUUAAAGGAUUAUGAGAACUUACAUGUACUAAUAGCAUGUUGUUUGAUAAAUGAUCAAAAUUUUGAAAUUCUAACAUGUAAUGGUUCUUGGCUGUUUUGUCCUAUGGUGAUGAAUUCAAUUCCUAAUGUGCUAUUUUCCUAAGUUGUUAGUAUUUUUGUAUGAUUGAGUUUCUGGAGUAUAUUCAGAUGGUUUGAGACACUAUAUUGAAUUGCUCUGAUUCUGCUAGUUUGUUCUAUAUUAAUUGUGUGAACUUCUAGGGUACAUGUUUGAUUAAAUGUUAGGUUGAGAUCUCAUUUGUGCCUAUACCACUGAAGAGGAGUGAGGUUCAAUACUUAAGGCUGGUUGUGUGGGCUUGACAUUAUGGUUGAGGAACCCCUCUCUAGCACAAGCACUGCUUGGGAUCCAAGAGACCCUCGUAAACUCUAAUGUGUCAGGGGUUCAUAGGGGAGCCUCAUAAGUAAAUAUGGUUCACCCUAGGCCUAUGAGUACAGAACAUAAUUAAUCUUCAUGGGAUUAGCAUAAAUGACACUGGGCUUUACUAUAUCUCUUCAAAUCUUGUCCAUAUUUAUUAUAAAUUAAUCUCACUUUACACUUUAUUUGUAUAUGUAAAUUAGUUAUCCCUA